UACGUAGGGUGCGAGCGUUAAUCGGAUUUACGGGGCGUAAAGCGUGCGCAGGCGGCCCGUUAAGACAGGUGUGAAAUCCCUGGGCUCAACCUAGGAAUUGCGCUUGUGACUGGCGGGCUCGAGUACGGUAGAGGGGGGUGGAAUUCCUGGUGUAGCAGUGAAAUGCGUAGAUAUCGGGAGGAACACCGAUGGCGAAGGCAGCCCCCUGGGCCUGUACUGACGCUCAUGCACGAAAGCGUGGGGAGCAAACAGG
rnacentral:rRNA from 1 species